CACUUUCUGUCUGACAGGCCUGAAACACGAAGGUGACCCGAGGCCGAACCAGGAAGAAGCAAAAAGGGAAGGAAAGAUUUGGGGGAAGGGAUGCUUAUGUAAUAAAGAUGACUUCUAAGAUUUUCAUCUAAUAAUAUGAAAAUUAAUACACUCAGUUGGCCUUGACAUGAGGUGCAGAGGAUACGGAUCUCCCAAACCAUUAAUAUUAAUUCUCACAAUGACUGUAGACUAUUACAUUUAAAAGAGGAAGGUGUGAUUAUCACUUAGCGAUCAAGCUGUAAUGUCAAAUUUCUAUACAGCAAUGAAAUGUAAAAUACUAGUCAUCCAGACAGGAAAAGGACAGUUAACUGUCAUUAUCAAAAACAAGCAGUUGAACUAUUUUUCAGUAUUAAAUUGAUACAUUCAGUUUAUCAAAAGUGACAUAUCAGCAUAUUAGAAAGUUUUCUGAAGGAUUACGUGACACUGAAGAUUGGAGUAAUGAUUCUGGAAAAAUUUACUUUGCCAUUAGGAAUAAAUUACAUUUGAACAUAUCAGAACAGAAAACAGUUAUUUUAAACUGAAAUCAUAUUUCACAAUAUUACUGAUUUUACUGUAUUUUUGUUCAAAUAAAUGCAGCCUUAGUGAACAUAUAGGAGACUUUUUUUCAAAAUCAUUAAAAAUCUUACAACCCAAACUUUUGAAUGGUAUAGUGUCUAUCUAUCUAUCUAUCUAUCUAUCUAUCUAUCUAUCUAUCUAUCUAUCUAUCUAUCUAUCUAUCUGCAGGCUUAAAUAAUAUUGCUGGGCUUGAAUAGGCUUGGUUCAGUGUAUGAUGGGGACCAAGCUGAGAGGGGCCGUCGUUCCAUUCUCAGUUACGAGAAAUUCAUCUCAGCAAGAUGGAGGAAGCACACCCGAGCUCACUAUGUCUCCCACCAAUCGCCCGCUAUUCAAAGACACAACAUCUGCUCUCACUAACAGAAACGUAUGCAUCAGCCCUUCUCCCUGCUUGUGUACUUUCAUUUCAGGAAAAUAAGACACUUUGCUGUCUUCCUGCUCUGUCAAAACUACAUAAUUACUCUGAAUAAGGCUCUGCUAAGCGGAAAAAGGAGACGAUGUUUGUUGCUAUCUUUAAAGCCACAGCUGCACUUGUCCAUGUUUUCUCUCUCUUCAUCACUGAAGUGUGGAAAGUGGAGGUGUCUAUUUUCGACUCUUGUGUAAUGGAGGACUUUGAUGCACAUACUUUUAAUCAGCUUCCUCUGUGCAAAUGAUGCCAGGGAGGGAGUCUAUUUUCCCUGGCUUUGAGGAACAUAAAGACCUCAGGGAAUAGUUUGGUUAUAAGAUACACGAGUGAAAACAGGAAAUUAUACUAAAAACAAACAGUUUACGCUUUUGCUAUGCUGUUUAUGUGUUUGAAUGUUAGUAUGAAAGCUGGAUUGUAAUUGUAGAUUAAAUGGCUUUUAGUUUUGUUAUGUGUAUACCAGAAACGCAGUGGCAAGUAUUUUAUUAAAUAUAUAUAUUUAUAUCAGUAAAGAUGUAUUAAACUAAUCAAAACUGACAGUAAAAGUAUUUAUAAUGUUACAAAAGAUUUCUAUUUCAAAUAAAUGCUGUUUUGUUGUUGUUGUUGUUGUUUUA
ensembl:lncRNA